CCCUUGAGACACCCAUCCGUGUGCAUGACAGUCCCCUGAAGGGCAACCCUGACUGUUGACGGGACGCGGCUCCACCGUACUCCGCCCAUGAUGGGUGACCUAACCUGGGAUCCGGAAUGGCACUACGGCAAUAUGUAUCUGUUGGACAAUCAAAGGAGUUGCUUCAUUCCUAUGGACCCGAAAUCAGAAUUCAACAUAUAUAUUUUAUGCUAAUACAUUUCAUUACAGUAUUAAUUAAAUGUUAACUUGCUAACUUGAGACCAUGGGCGGAGACAUUAUGUAACCUUUUAACCAUUGGCUACUGUGCUAUCUUGUCUUGCUGCUAGAACCUAUCCGGGGGUGUGGAACUGCCUACCCCAUCACUUUCCCCGGCCCAUGGAAAAUCCAUAUAUUCCAGUGUAAUCAACUGAUUGACCGUGUCUCUGAGCCUAAUAAGCAAGGUAACACUCCGUCAGCGCUGUACGUAAUAAACUCCUAUGCUUGACU